UACGAAGGGGGCUAGCGUUGCUCGGAAUCACUGGGCGUAAAGCGCACGUAGGCGGAUUGUUAAGUCAGGGGUGAAAUCCUGGAGCUCAACUCCAGAACUGCCUUUGAUACUGGCGAUCUUGAGUCCGGGAGAGGUGAGUGGAACUGCGAGUGUAGAGGUGAAAUUCGUAGAUAUUCGCAAGAACACCAGUGGCGAAGGCGGCCAUCUGGACAGAUAUUGACGCUGAGGUGCGAAAGCGUGGGGAGCAAACAGG
rnacentral:rRNA from 1 species